rnacentral:rRNA from 1 species
GACGAACGCUGGCGGCGUGCCUAAUACAUGCAAGUCGAGCGGACGGAUGGGAGCUUGCUCCCAGACCGUCAGCGGCGGACGGGUGAGUAACACGUGGGCAACCUGCCUGUAAGACUGGGAUAACUCCGGGAAACCGGGGCUAAUACCGGAUAACUCUUUCCCUCACAUGAGGGAAAGCUGAAAUAUGGCAUCUCGCUAUCACUCACAGAUGUGCCCGCUGGACAUUAGCUAGUUGGUGGGGUAACGGCUCACCAAGGCGACGAUGCGUAGCCGACCUGAGAGGCUUAUCGGCCACGCGGGGACUGAGACACGGCCCAGACGCCUACGGGAGGGAUCAGUAGAGAAUCUUCGACAAUGGACGGAAGUCUGACGGAGCAACAGCGGGUGAGUGAUGUAGGUUUUCGGAUCGUAAAACUCUGUUGUCAGGGAAGAACAAGUACCUGAGUGACGGCCGGUACCGUGACGGUACCUGAUCAGAAGGCCACGGCUAACUGCGUG